GGGGAUAUAGCUCAGUUGGUAGAGUGCUUGCUUUGCAUACACAAGGCCCUAGGUUCAAUCCCCAGCACCCCCC
rfam:Ictidomys tridecemlineatus contig080210, whole genome shotgun sequence.